rnacentral:rRNA from 1 species
CCUACGGGAGUCUGCAGUGGGGAAUAUUGGACAAUGGGCGAAAGCCUGAUCCAGCCAUGCCGCGUGUGUGAAGAAGGCCUUCGGGUUGUAAAGCACUUUCAGUGGGGAAGAAAGCCUUGGGGCUAAUACCCUCGAGGAAGGACAUCACCCACAGAAGAAGCACCGGCUAACUCCGUGUCAGCAGCCGCGGUAAUACGGAGGGUGCGAGCGUUAAUCGGAAUUACUGGGCGUAAAGCGCGCGUAGGCGGUCUGAUAAGCCGGUUGUGAAAGCCCCGGGCUCAACCUGGGAACGGCAUCCGGAACUGUCAGGCUAGAGUGCAGGAGAGGAAGGUAGAAUUCCCGGUGUAGCGGUGAAAUGCGUAGAGAUCGGGAGGAAUACCAGUGGCGAAGGCGGCCUUCUGGACUGACACUGACGCUGAGGUGCGAAAGCGUGGGUAGCAAACAGGAUUAGAUACCCUUGUAGUC